rnacentral:rRNA from 1 species
AAUACGGAGGGUGCAAGCGUUAAUCGGAAUUACUGGGCGUAAAGCGCACGCAGGCGGUCUGUCAAGUCGGAUGUGAAAUCCCCGGGCUCAACCUGGGAACUGCAUUCGAAACUGGCAGGCUUGAGUCUUGUAGAGGGGGGUAGAAUUCCAGGUGUAGCGGUGAAAUGCGUAGAGAUCUGGAGGAAUACCGGUGGCGAAGGCGGCCCCCUGGACAAAGACUGACGCUCAGGUGCGAAAGCGUGGGGAGCAAACAGGAUUAGAUACCCUGGUAGUCCACGCCGUAAACGAUGUCUACUUGGAGGUUGUGCCCUUGAGGCGUGGCUUCCGGAGCUAACGCGUUAAGUAGACCGCCUGGGGAGUACGGCCGCAAGGUUAAAACUCAAAUGAAUUGACGGGGGCCCGCACAAGCGGUGGAGCAUGUGGUUUAAUUCGAUGCAACGCGAAGAACCUUACCUGGUCUUGACAUCCACGGAAGUUUUCAGAGAUGAGAAUGUGCCUUCGGGAACCGUGAGACAGGUGCUGCAUGGCUGUCGUCAGCUCGUGUUGUGAAAUGUUGGGUUAAGUCCCGCAACGAGCGCAACCCUUAUCCUUUGUUGCCAGCGAUUAGGUCGGGAACUCAAAGGAGACUGCCAGUGAUA